AUUGUUAACUAUGACGCCGUGCUGCAGUUGGGUGUUGCAUCGUUGAUGUCGACCACGAGAGAAAAUCAUACUGCAACAUACUCUGCUCCAUCUUAAAACAUGGUUGACUAUGGGUCGUGCUGCUGUUGGGUGUUGUAUCGUUGAUGGCUGGGGCGAUCACGGGGUACCGAUGUAUUUGAGUGUGGUGGUACCAAACCGCAACGCCGCCGCUUUACUACACAACGAAGUCAACAUACGGAACAUGUACUUCCCGAGGCCCCUAAAUACUACACCACCAAGGCUCUAACUACUACACCGAGGAUCUAACUUGUUACAUCACCGAAACGCCCAAAUACUGCACUACAACCUACGUUGCCCCAGCUUACACCACGAA